GGGGCUGAGUAGCUUCGACGGGUCAGACCGUGGGCAGUGUAAGCAGGCGGAGUUGCGAGCCCUCCUAAAACGAUCGCAACGCGUAUACACGCGAACAACAACUACGCACUCGCUGCCUAAUCUAAGGUAGCGACGGUGCGCGAGGGGUCGCCGGAGCCGCCUCGCUCACCGUCAACAAGUCCGGCUGGGACGGGAAGUCCGCUCUGCGAACCGUCCGAAAUCUACGGAGCUGCCGCCGCCGAAAGUUCGUUUCGAAACGUUCGACGGCCUAAGACAAAAUCGAAACUGAGCCUGGAGAAAGCGCUGGUCCGGCGAUUCGGACUCGGGGGGCGGUUCCCCGACAGCUCCACCA
rnacentral:tmRNA from 1 species